UUAUUUUUGUACUAAUAGCGACAAAAAUCCAAACCGCACAAUGUUUGUCAAUUGUGGCCACUUCUUUUAAUACCAAAUACCAACUGUGGCCACUCCAUGAACUUAAACAUUUAUAACGAUUAGCCAUCUUUUAGUUUCACUCCCUAAACUAUGUGCCUUUGUUGACAUAGUGUACUCUUAUUGUUUAAUAGUUCUUAAGUUGACUAGAGCAAAACUAAAGCUGACAGGAUCUUAAAAUUUAAUUUUCUCAAUAAUUUUCAUAAUUUAAUUUGUUACUGGUAUUUUUUCCUUGUUUAUUUAUUUUUAGUUUUUUAAAAAAUGUUCAAAUGUGGUUGGAAAUUUUGAGUAACAAAAAAAAAAAAAA
rnacentral:misc_RNA from 1 species